rnacentral:rRNA from 1 species
ACUGGGGGAUGGCUCGGCUCGAGAGCUGAUGAAGGNCGUGACAAGCUGCGAUAAUCUACGGGGAGGCGCAUGAAUGCCUUGGAUCCGUAGGUCGCCUAAUAGGACCUCCUGACGCAAGUCGUCAUUCCCAAAUAUACCUGGGAAAGGGAACCCACCGAAUUGAAGCAUCUUAGUAGGUGGAGGAAUAGAAAUCAAAUGAGAUUCCGUGAUUAGUGGCGAACGAAAACGGAACAGAACAAACCGAAUCCCCUUGGGAAACCUUGGGGAGAUGUGGGGUUCGGAUCGUCUAUUGCCUAAAUUCGUGAAAUGGAAGUCGACCUGGAACGGCGCACCAUAGAGGGUGAAAGUCCCGUACAUGUAACGAACAUGGCCAAGUGACGAAUCCAGAGUAGCGUGCGUUGGAUAUCGCGCGUGAAUGUGGGAGGCAUAAACUUCCAAUUCUAAAUACUACUCGAGACCGAUAGUUGACAAGUAGAGUGAUCGAAAGCUGAAAAGUAUCCUUGACGGGAUGUGAAAAGUACCUGAAACCAGUUAGGAACAGGCUGAGUGGGCGUGAAAGCGAUGAUAUGAGCAGCGUUCACUCGUGCGUUUCGAAAAAUGCCCCUGGGAGUCUUGAUCAUUGGCGAGGUUAAGGAGUUGAUCUCCGAAGCCGUAGGGAAACCGACAAGUCCGCAGCCCUUCGGGGUGAGGGACGAGAUGUGCUCGUCUGAAGUCAAUGGUGGAGAACCUGAAGCCCGUCGAUCUAUGCCUGGCCAGAUUGAAGCCCGACGAAAGUUGGGUGGAGGAUCGAACCGUUGCUGAUGUGCAAAUCGCUCGGACGAGCUGGGUAUAGGGGUGAAAGUCCAAUCGAGAUGGGCAAUAGCAGGUUCCGCGCGAGACUACUCGUAGGUAGA